rnacentral:rRNA from 1 species
UACAGAGGUCCCAAGCGUUGUUCGGAUUCACUGGGCGUAAAGGGUGCGUAGGUGGUGAGGUAAGUCGGAUGUGAAAUCUCCGAGCUCAACUCGGAAAUGGCAUUGGAAACUACCUUGCUCGAGGGUUGGAGGGGGGACUGGAAUGCUUGGUGUAGCAGUGAAAUGCGUAGAUAUCAAGCGGAACACCAGUGGCGAAGGCGAGUCCCUGGGCCUGCACUGACGCUCAUGCACGAAAGCGUGGGGAGCAAACAGG